rnacentral:misc_RNA from 1 species
GUUACUUGAAUAACCUAAAUCCAACCCAAAACGUAUAUCUUCGCAAACGUCUUAAUAUAUUUACCUGGUCGUAUCGGCGCUCGUUAAUUCGUUACGCAAACUCAAUAACGUUUCUCUGUCUCUCUCGAACGAUGUGCCCGCACUGUCCCCACGAAUGAUAUCGAGACGGCGCGAUUUCUCGACUCGCGACGCGUCCUCAAAUAAUGACGCAACGAAUGGACAAACUAUUAUUACAUCGAGCCACGCGACGAGCAACAAGUAUCACGGUUUUUGCGAGGCACGCCAGGAACUUCGGUCACGCAGGAUUCCCUCGUUGACUGCACGUGACACUAAUGCACGGUUGAGCGCGCGCGCGCGUGCGUGCACGAACACGUCGAAACAAGGAAGGGUCCCCGAAAACACUCAGACGACCCUGAGAAAGAAUUGAAUGGCACAAAACAGACAAUGAAUCUACACUUGCGGGGAACGCGCUUGCAUAUGGUGAAGGUUCGUUUCAGCUGACCAGGGUCGGACAUUGUCAUGUUAAUGAAUGGAAGACACAUUUUCAAGGCAAAACUUGCGCUUGUUCGUGGAUUGCGUGCUACGUAAUUGCCUUAUACCUGAACAAAGUCGCGUAUAAUGUAAGCUGACACGAAGAUGAUGAGAUAACAGAGGAAGACGCAAUUUCACAUCGAACUUGAUUUUGAAAUGUACAUUGGACUGAAG